rnacentral:rRNA from 1 species
AGAGUUUGAUCAUGGCUCAGGAUGAACGCUGGCGGCGUGCUUAACACAUGCAAGUCGAACGAAGCACUUAACUUGAUUUUCUUCGGAACUGAUUGUUUUGUGACUGAGUGGCGGACGGGUGAGUAACGCGUGGGUAACCUGCCUCACACAGGGGGACAACAGCUGGAAACGGCUGCUAAUACCGCAUAAGCGCACAGCUUCGCAUGGAGCAGUGUGAAAAACUCCGGUGGUGUGAGAUGGACCCGCGUCUGAUUAGCUGGUUGGCAGGGUAACGGCCUACCAAGGCGACGAUCAGUAGCCGACCUGAGAGGGUGACCAGCCACAUUGGGACUGAGACACGGCCCAAACUCCUACGGGAGGCAGCAGUGGGGAAUAUUGCACAAUGGGCGAAAGCCUGAUGCAGCGACGCCGCGUGAGCGAAGAAGUAUUUCGGUAUGUAAAGCUCUAUCAGCAGGGAAGAAAAUGACGGUACCUGACUAAGAAGCUCCGGCUAAAUACGUGCCAGCAGCCGCGGUAAUACGUAUGGAGCAAGCGUUAUCCGGAUUUACUGGGUGUAAAGGGAGCGUAGGCGGCAGGGCAAGUCUGAUGUGAAAACCCGGGGCUCAACCCUGGGACUGCAUUGGAAACUGUUCAGCUGGAGUGUCGGAGAGGCAAGCGGAAUUCCUAGUGUAGCGGUGAAAUGCGUAGAUAUUAGGAGGAACACCAGUGGCGAAGGCGGCUUGCUGGACGAUGACUGACGCUGAGGCUCGAAAGCGUGGGGAGCAAACAGGAUUAGAUACCCUGGUAGUCCACGCCGUAAA